GACAGAGGUGCCAAGCGUUAGGCGGAAUCACUGGGCUUAAAGCGUGUGUAGGCGGGCGGGCAAGUACCUUGUGAAAUCCCCGGGCUCAACCUGGGAACUGCAUUUGUGACUGUAGAGCUGGAGUGCGGCAGAGGGGGAUGGAAUUCCGCGUGUAGCAGUGAAAUGCGUAGAUAUGCGGAGGAACACCGAUGGCGAAGGCAAUCCCCUGGGCCUGCACUGACGCUCAUGCACGAAAGCGUGGGGAGCAAACAGG
rnacentral:rRNA from 1 species